GAGUUGUCACAUGAGUUGUUGCUGGUCCUCAAACGGGGGCAUGUGCACGCUCUGUUCACACAUCCACUCACACCUGUGCACCCUCUGUAGUUCUAUGGUUUGGGAGGACACAUCGUCUCCUCCCUCCUGUGGCUCUAUGUUUUUACACACACACCGUAGCGAAGUCAUAUGGAAUGUGCGCCGCGUUUAACGCAAUACAAUACAACUUUCAGCAACGGAUCUCUUGGCUCUCGCAUCGAUGAAGAACGCAGCGAAAUGCGAUAAGUAAUGUGAAUUGCAGAAUUCAGUGAAUCAUCGAAUCUUUGAACGCACCUUGCGCCCCUUGGCUAUUCCGAGGGGCGUGCCUGUUUGAGUAUCAUGAACACCUCAACUCUCAUGGUUUGCCGUGAUGAGUUUGGACUGGUGGGGGUUUUGCUGGCCUGUGGUCGGCUCCUCUCAAAUGAAUCAGCUUUCCAGUGUUUGGUGGCGCCAUGGGUGUGAUAACUAUCUACGCUCGUGACCGUUUGCCAGGUAACCUUCCACAAUGGGGGUUCGCUGGAGCUCACAAAUGUCUCUCCUCAGCGAAGACAGCUUUUUGAACGUUCGAUCUCAAAUCAGGUAGGACUACCCGCUGAACUUAAGCAUAUCAAU
rnacentral:rRNA from 1 species